GAUGAAGAACGUAGCGAAAUGCGAUAAGUAAUGUGAAUUGCAGAAUUCAGUGAAUCAUCGAAUCUUUGAACGCACAUUGCGCCCGCUAGUAUUCUGGCGGGCAUGCCUGUCCGAGCGUCAUUUCAACCCUCAAGCCCCCGGGCUUGGUGUUGGGGAUCGGCGAGCCUCAGCGCCCGCCGUCCCCUAAAUCUAGUGGCGGUCUCGCUGUAGCUUCCUCUGCGUAGUAGCACACCUCGCACUGGGAAACAGCGCGGCCACGCCGUUAAACCCCCAACUUCUGAACGUUUGACCUCGGAUCAGGUAGGAAUACCCGCUGAACUUAAGCAUAUCAAUAAGCGGAGGA
rnacentral:misc_RNA from 1 species